GAUGAACGCUGGCGGCGUGCCUCAAACAUGCAAGUCGAGCGGGGCUAUGUAAUAUCGCAAGGUAGAACAUAGCCUAGCGGCGAACGGGUGAGUAACACGUGGGUAACCUGCCUGGAAGACAGGGAUAACGAUUCGAAAGGGUCGCUAAUACCUGAUAAUAUCCUUUCAUCGCAUGGUGAUAGGAAGAAAGGGGAAACCCGCUUUCAGAUGGGCCCGCGUCCCAUCAGCUAGUCGGUGGGGUAACGGCCUACCGAGGCGACGAUGGGUAGCUGGUCUGAGAGGAUGGUCAGCCGGAUCGGGACUGAGACACGGCCCGGACUCCUACGGGGGGCAGCAAUCAGGAAUAUUGCGCAAUGGGGGAAACCCUGACGCAGCGACGCCGCGUGCGGGAUGAAGGCCUUCGGGUCGUAAACCGCUGUUGUGGGAGACGAAUGACUGUCGAUGAGGCAGUGGAGACGGUAUCUCACGAGGAAGCCCCGGCUAACUACGUG
rnacentral:rRNA from 1 species